rnacentral:rRNA from 1 species
GACGAAGGUGGCGAGCGUUGUUCGGAAUCACUGGGCAUAAAGCGCACGUAGGCGGCGACGUAAGUUGGGUGUGAAAUCCCUCGGCCCAACCGAGGACUGCGCCCAGUACUGCGUUGCUUGAGGAUCCAAGGGGUGCAUGGAAUUCCCGGUGGAGCGGUGAAAUGCGUUGAUAUCGGGAGGAACUCCGGGCGGCGAAGGCGGGUCUGCUGG